GGGGCCGAUCGGUAUCGACCGGGCAGGGAAACUUUGGUGUGGCGCGUCGAGGGGUGUGCUGGCCUCGUAAAAAGCACACAAACACAAUGACUGCCGAACCGCAGUACGCUCUCGCGGCCUAAUACUGGCCGUGUGUCGUCCGCCUGACGCCCGAUGGGGCGGGCGACAUUAAACAUCGGGCUGGCUCUGGCAGGGUGCAUCCUGCUGCUGGGGCGAGGAGGUUCACAGGACGCUGGGCCGAAUGGGAGGGUGUCGGCGCCCGCCCGGAGGCCGAGAUGAAAACACCGACUACACGCGUAGAAGCGCCAAGGGGACUGUCACGGCACGGGGGUUCGAUUCCCCCCGGCUCCACUU
rnacentral:tmRNA from 1 species